rnacentral:rRNA from 1 species
CCCCUAGAUGUUCUGGGCCGCACGCGCGCUACACUGAACAGUUCAACAAGUCUUAACCUUGGCCGAUAGGUCUGGGUAAUCUUUGAACGCUGUUCGUGAUUGGGAUAGACCUUUGCAAUUAUGGGUCUUCAACGAGGAAUUCCUAGUAAACGCAAGUCAUCAGCUUGCAUUGAUUACGUCCCUGCCCUUUGUACACACCGCCCGUCGCACCUACCGAUUGAAUGGUCCGGUGAAAUCUCGGGACGGCGGCUUGGUCGCUUGCGUCCGACUGCUGAAACUUGAUUAAACCAUAUCAUUUAGAGGAAGGUGGAGUCGUANCA